GAGGAAUAUUGGUCAAUGGGCGAGAGCCUGAACCAGCCAAGUCGCGUGAAGGACGACGGUUCUAUGGAUUGUAAACUUCUUUUGUAGAGGAAUAAUGGCAGCUACGCGUAGCUGAGAUGCAUGUACUCUACGAAUAAGUAUCGGCUAACUCCGUGCCAGCAGCCGCGGUAAUACGGAGGAUACGAGCGUUAUCCGGAAUUAUUGGGUUUAAAGGGUGCGUAGGUGGCGUAUUAAGUCAGUGGUGAAAAGCUGCAGCUCAACUGUAGUCUUGCCGUUGAAACUGAUAUGCUAGAGAGGAGACGAGGUAUGCGGAAUGUGUGGUGUAGCGGUGAAAUGCAUAGAUAUCACACAGAACGCCGAUUGCGAAGGCAGCGUACCAGGCUCCGUCUGACACUGAAGCACGAAAGCGUGGGGAUCAAACAGGAUUAGAUACCCUGGUAGUCCACGCAGUAAACGAUGAAUACUAGAUUUUUGCGAUAUAGUGUAAGAGUCUAAGCGAAAGCGAUAAGUAUUCCACCUGGGGAGUACGCCGGCAACGGUG
rnacentral:rRNA from 1 species